rnacentral:rRNA from 1 species
UACGUAGGGUCCGAGCGUUGUCCGGAAUUAUUGGGCGUAAAGAGCUCGUAGGCGGUUUGUCGCGUCUGCUGUGAAAUCCCGAGGCUCAACCUCGGGCCUGCAGUGGGUACGGGCAGACUUGAGUGGUGUAGGGGAGACUGGAAUUCCACGUGUAGCAGUGAAAUGCGUAGAUAUGUGGAGGAACACCGAUGGCGAAGGCAGCCCCCUGGGAUGUGACUGACGCUCAUGUACGAAAGCGUGGGGAGCGAACAGG